rnacentral:rRNA from 1 species
UCGAGCGAGCUUGCCUAGAUGAAUUUGGUGCUUGCACCAGAUGAAACUAGAUACAAGCGAGCGGCGGACGGGUGAGUAACACGUGGGUAACCUGCCCAAGAGACUGGGAUAACACCUGGAAACAGAUGCUAAUACCGGAUAACAACACUAGACGCAUGUCUAGAGUUUAAAAGAUGGUUCUGCUAUCACUCUUGGAUGGACCUGCGGUGCAUUAGCUAGUUGGUAAGGUAACGGCUUACCAAGGCAAUGAUGCAUAGCCGAGUUGAGAGACUGAUCGGCCACAUUGGGACUGAGACACGGCCCAAACUCCUACGGGAGGCAGCAGUAGGGAAUCUUCCACAAUGGACGCAAGUCUGAUGGAGCAACGCCGCGUGAGUGAAGAAGGGUUUCGGCUCGUAAAGCUCUGUUGGUAGUGAAGAAAGAUAGAGGUAGUAACUGGCCUUUAUUUGACGGUAAUUACUUAGAAAGUCACGGCUAACUACGUGCCAGCAGCCGCGGUAAUACGUAGGUGGCAAGCGUUGUCCGGAUUUAUUGGGCGUAAAGCGAGUGCAGGCGGUUCAAUAAGUCUGGUGUGAAAGCCUUCGGCUCAACCGGAGAAUUGCAUCAGAAACUGUUGAACUUGAGUGCAGAAGAGGAGAGUGGAACUCCAUGUGUAGCGGUGGAAUGCGUAGAUAUAUGGAAGAACACCAGUGGCGAAGGCGGCUCUCUGGUCUGC